CGUUGGUCACUUAGCAACAGCUAGCGGUGGACUUGGUCAGGUCCGGAAGGAAGCAGCCACAACUGUGAAUCUGUGUGCUAAGACCGGCUAACGGAA
rnacentral:SRP_RNA from 1 species